GUGGGGAAUAUUGGACAAUGGGCGAAAGCCUGAUCCAGCAAUGCCGCGUGCAGGAAGAAGGCCUUCGGGUUGUAAACUGCUUUUGUACGGAACGAAACGGUCCUGGUUAAUACCUGGGGCUAAUGACGGUACCGUAAGAAUAAGCACCGGCUAACUACGUGCCAGCAGCCGCGGUAAUACGUAGGGUGCAAGCGUUAAUCGGAAUUACUGGGCGUAAAGCGUGCGCAGGCGGUGCUGUAAGACAGGCGUGAAAUCCCCGGGCUCAACCUGGGAAUUGCGCUUGUGACUGCAGUGCUGGAGUGCGGCAGAGGGGGAUGGAAUUCCGCGUGUAGCAGUGAAAUGCGUAGAUAUGCGGAGGAACACCGAUGGCGAAGGCAAUCCCCUGGGCCUGCACUGACGCUCAUGCACGAAAGCGUGGGGAGCAAACAGGAUUAGAUACCCUAGUAGUCC
rnacentral:rRNA from 1 species